rnacentral:tRNA from 1 species
GCCUGACUGGCUCAGUUGGUAGAGCAGGUGACUCUUAAUCCUCAGGGUUGUGAGUUUGAGCCCCACGUUGGGCA